GAUGAACGCUGGCGGCGUGCCUAAUACAUGCAAGUCGAGCGAACAGACGAGGAUCUUGUUCCUCUGACGUUUGCGGCGGACGGGUGAGUAACACGUGGAUAACCUACCUAUAAGACUGGUAUCACUUCGGGAAACCGGAGCUAAUACCGGAUAAUAUCUUGAACCGCAUGGUUCAAUAGUGAAGGACGGUUUUGCUGUCACUUAUAGAUGGAUCCGCGCCGCAUUAGCUAGUUGGUAAGGUAACGGCUUAUCAAGGCAACGAUGCGUAGCCGACCUGAGAGGGGGGUCGGCCACACUGGAGCUGAGACGGCGUCCUGGCUCCUAAGGGAGGCAGCAGACGGCAAUCUUCCGCAAUGGUCGGUAACCUGACGGAGCAGCGGCGCGUGUGUGAUGGAGGUCUCCGGUGCGUAAAGCGGUGUUGUUAGGUAUAAACAGAUGUGUAAGUAGCUAAACACGGCUUGACGGUACCUAAUAAGGAAGCCACGGCUAACUACGUG
rnacentral:rRNA from 1 species